ensembl:rRNA 5S_rRNA 5S ribosomal RNA
GUGUACAGGCCUACCACCCUGAAGGCAUCUGAUCUCAGAAACUAAGCAGGGUCAAGCCUGGUUAGUACUUAGAUGGAAGACUACCCAGGAAUACCGGGUGCUGCAGUCU